rnacentral:rRNA from 1 species
GGGUGACGAGCGGCGGACGGGUGAGUAAUGUCUGGGAAACUGCCUGAUGGAGGGGGAUAACUACUGGAAACGGUAGCUAAUACCGCAUAACGUCGCAAGACCAAAGUGGGGGACCUUCGGGCCUCAUGCCAUCAGAUGUGCCCAGAUGGGAUUAGCUAGUAGGUGGGGUAAUGGCUCACCUAGGCGACGAUCCCUAGCUGGUCUGAGAGGAUGACCAGCCACACUGGAACUGAGACACGGUCCAGACUCCUACGGGAGGCAGCAGUGGGGAAUAUUGCACAAUGGGCGCAAGCCUGAUGCAGCCAUGCCGCGUGUAUGAAGAAGGCCUUCGGGUUGUAAAGUACUUUCAGCGAGGAGGAAGGCGAUAAGGUUAAUAACCUUGUCGAUUGACGUUACUCGCA